UGGGAAUGGCUUUGCCAUUGGGAUGUUCACAGCCGUGCCCCAGAUCUUGGGAAAGCUUUUGAUUGGACCUGCCUGCUCCAGCCCCUCUGUCUGCGCCAUGAGAAGCGGUCCCCACCCUGGGCGGGGGUCCCCCACGGAACACGCGGGACGUGUAGAGCAGGCCACCCAGAAAAGCCACUCUAAGAUCCGCUGAUGUCGGGCUUGUGAGAAACCCCCUUUGUGUGUUGUUUGCGGCUACUGGGUUUUGGCGACUCCAUUACGGGACUUAAAUGAGUUGUCAACCCAACGGGUGUCAGGAUGGACGUGGCGCUUCUCCGGUGCCCCGUCCAGUCCGUUUUCCUUUCAUGCCUCCACUCGGGGAAUGCCACCUUUAAAUGUCGGAUUCAGGCACAGAGAGGAAAAGGGAUGACGGAGGAGUGCCGCGAGGCGUAUUAUCUGCAGCGCCCUGGCUUGUUCAGUUAACCACACCCUGCUUCCUUCCCCUGCCCAGGGCUGUUCUGGUUCCUGAGACAGGAGAGAAAGCCGGGAGGGCCAGGCCGGGGAUGAACUAGCCGCUGGGGAGUGAAAGCCGCACACUUCUUGGAACUCAGGAGCCCGUGAAGGGCCGGAAUGGAGAGCAGGCGAGACAAUUGGGAGAAAUGCCCUGGGGAAGGCGCUGCAGCCUCCCCUGCAGCUGGGCGCCCAGUUCAUGGUACCUUGUUUAGCAGCCCAAACGGACCAAGGCAGAUGAUGCGCUCCCAGCGACCGCGUGGACACCCACGGGAAGGCUAUGCAGCUUCCACAUAAAACACGGAGCUGCCUCUCCUUAGCAGCCCUCCUCACAGUUGCAGACAUCUGGAACCCGCUCCAAUUCUCACUGGCAAGGGAACGAAUGAAUACACGGUGUUGUGGUCAUACAACGGAAUACUACACACCAGGGAAAAUUCUACCAUCUACAGUCACGCAAAAAAUGCAGCAGCAUGGGUCUUCACACAGAACACCAGGGGAAGUAUGCGAACUGUGCGAUAUAACUCACACCGAAUGAUCACACUUGUAUAAAGUCCCAAAACAGGUAAUAUACCAAGUUACAAGUCAGGAGCGUAGACAGAUGCCUCUGCGUGGACAGUGCCCGGAAGGCCUCCUAAGCUGUGCUCCUCCAAUGCUGGUCCCUGGACCAAGGGGAUCCAUAUUUGGACCUGAAAGAGGACUGAGCAUCUUCUGGAAAUCCUGAACAUUGAGCUGGAUGGGACCUUGGUUGUCUCUCCUGGUAAGGUGGGUAUUUUAGAUCGUUUUCACCCUGCUGAUAAAGACAUACCCGAGACCAGGUAAUUUAUAAAGAAAAAGAGGUUUAAUGGACUUGCAGUUCCACAUGGCUGGGGAGGCCUCACAGUCAUGGCAGAAGGUAAAAGGCAAAUCUUACAUGGCGGCAGACAAGACAGAAUGAGAGCCAAGUGAAAGGGGAAACUGCUUAUCAAACCAUCAGAUCUCGUAAGACUUACUACCG
rnacentral:lncRNA from 10 species